GACGAACGCUGGCGGCGUGCCUAAUACAUGCAAGUAGAACGCUGAAGAGAGGAGCUUGCUCUUCUUGGAUGAGUUGCGAACGGGUGAGUAACGCGUAGGUAACCUGCCUUGUAGCGGGGGAUAACUAUUGGAAACGAUAGCUAAUACCGCAUAACAAUGGAUGACCCAUGUCUUUUAUUUGAAAUGGGCAAAUGCUCCACUACAAGAUGGACCUGCGUUGUAUUAGCUAGUAGGUGAGGUAACGGCGCACCUAGGCGACGUUACAUAGCCGACCUGAGAGGGUGAGCGGCCACACUGGGACGGGGACACGGCCCAGACGCCUACGGGAGGCAGCAGUAGGGAAUCGUCGGCAAUGGGGGCAACACUGAGCGAGAAACGCCGCGUGAGGGAAGAAGGUCUUCGGAUCGGAAAGCUCUGUUGUAAGUCAAGAACGAGUGUGAGAGUGGAAAGUUCACACUGUGACGGUAGCUUACCAGAAAGGGACGGCUAACUACGUG
rnacentral:rRNA from 1 species